UUUCCGGUUGAUCCUGCCGGACCUGACUGCUAUCGGAUUGAUACUAAGCCAUGCGAGUCUUUGCAGUAAUGCAAGGCAUACGGCUCAGUAACACGUAGUCAACUUACCCUAUGGACGAGGAUAAUCUCGGGAAACUGAGCAUAAUACUCGAUAGAUCAUAAUGCCUGGAAUGGUUUAUGGUUGAAAUGAUUCGUCGCCGUAGGAUGGGACUGCGGCCUAUCAGCUUGUUGGUGAGGUAAUGGCCCACCAAGGCGAUUACAGGUACGGGCUCUGAGAGGAGAAGCCCGGAGAUGGGUACUGAGACAAGGACCCAGGCCCUAUGGGGCGCAGCAGGCGAGAAAACUUUGCAAUGUGCGAAAGCACGACAAGGUUAAUCCGAGUGAUUUCUGCUAAGAAAUCUUUUGCAAGUCAUAAAACCACCAGUGAAUAAGGGGUGGGCAAGUUCUGGUGUCAGCCGCCGCGGUAAAACCAGCACCUCAAGUGGUCAGGAGGAUUAUUGGGCCUAAAGCAUCCGUAGCCGGCUCUGUAAGUUUUCGGUUAAAUCCAUGUGCUCAACGCAUGGGCUGCCGAAAAUACUGCAUAGCUAGGGAGUGGGAGAGGUAGACGGUACUCGGUAGGAAGGGGUAAAAUCCUUUGAUCUAUCGAUGACCACCUGUGGCGAAGGCGGUCUACCAGAACACGUUCGACGGUGAGGGAUGAAAGCUGGGGGAGCAAACCGGAUUAGAUACCCGGGUAGUCCCAGCUGUAAACGAUGCAGACUCGAUGAUGCAUUGGCAUAUAGCCAGUGCAGUGUCGCAGGGAAGCCGUUAAGUCUGCCGCCUGGGAAGUACGUACGCAAGUAU
rnacentral:rRNA from 1 species